GGUCUCAUGGUGUAACGGUUAGCACUCUGGACUUUGAAUCCAGCGAUCUGAGUUCAAAUCUCGGUGAGACCU
rnacentral:tRNA from 1 species